UUCAGAGUUUUUAAUAGGUUGAAUUUUGUUCUCCUGAAUUCAUUUAUCCAAGCCCGAGGCUCCAUUGUGUCUUUUUUUUUUUUUUUUUUAAGAUAGGGCCCUUGAGGAGGUAAUUAAGGUUAAUUGAGAUGUUAUGGGUAGCACCCUUAGUAGAUAGAAUUGGUGCCCUUUAAGAAAAAGGGGGAUCAUAUCUCUCUCUCUUUCUCUCUCUCAGCUCACAGAGAAGAAGACAUUGGAGGACACAGCAAGAAUAUAGUUGUCUACAAGCCAGGAAGAGUGGCCUCAUCUGAAACCCACCCUGCUAGCACCCUCAUCGUGGAAUUCUAGCUUCCGGAACAGGGAGGCGUUGAGCAUCUAUCUAAGUGACCCACUCUGUGGAACCUUGUUCUGCCAGCCCAAACUGACUACAAUGGAUCAUGAGUCCAUCCGCUAACUACGCAUAACCGCUGUUUUGAGAUUCCUUCUGCUCCCCGGAAAUACUCAGCCUUUGCCAUCACAGAACACUGGAAUGGGUCGAUCUCACACAUGAAGCAAACACUGUGCUAUUUCUUGGGACGGUCAUAUUCACAGAUAAAUUAUCCACGAAGCAAACUAAAAUUAAGUCGCAGAUUGAAAAUGACGCAGUUCUGCUAUCCAAAUAAACAGGCUGUCAGUUCUCGGAUUCUGAAGAUUCUGUUUGCUGCUUCCCAGCGUUUCUGAAUGCAUGAUUUCAGCUUUAC
rnacentral:lncRNA from 1 species